rnacentral:lncRNA from 1 species
GUUUACUUUCAUUGUUAGAAUUAAAUUGAUUGAAGUUGUGUAAUUUAAAGUAAACAUUCCUCGAGGAAUCGACAAUCCAGACUUAAACAGUCCACUUUAUUAUUUGGACGCGACCCGUGCACUUGCGAUAGUAUUUUAGCGAACAUUGUGUCAAAGGGAUGAUUUCUCUUGGAUUACAGCUUUUCUCAUAGUCUACACUUGAUCUCUUUGCUUUCUCUGAUGCAAAUUGGGUAGGCUGUCCCACAACUAGAUGUUCCACCAUUGGGUAUUGCACAUUUUUUGGUCGGAACCUUCUCUCCUAGUGUGCAAAGAAACAAAGCACGAUGUCUGGAUCGAGUACUGAAGCUGAAUAUCGAUCCUUGGCUCAUACCACAGCUGAGCUUACUUGGCUUUCCUCCUUCGUGAUCUUAAAGUUCUUCUUCGUUCUCCACCAAUUCUUUUUUGUGAUAAUUUGACUGCUCUACACAUGACCGUUAACCCCGUCUUUCAUGCCCGAAGCAAGCAUAUUGAACUUGAUUAUCAUUUUGUUCGGGAACGGGUUGCUCUUGGUCACCUUGUCACACGCCAUGUUUCUUCUGCGAAUCAGAUUGCAGAUAUCUUUACAAAGGCUCUUCCCAAGCCCAAUUUACACUCUCUUCGCAGCAAGUUGUGUCUCCAACCCUGUCACAAGUUGAGAGAGGGUAUUAGCAAGCGCAAAACAUGGAAAGAUAAAGAAGAAAAUAAAUCAGAGUGACACAAAAGGAAUCCUAGUCACAUACAAUUAAUCAGAUCACUGGAAUUUCAAUUAAGAGAAUUGAGAGCAAAGCAAGUAUUUAAAGCAAUGGAAAGGCAAUCAAAGCUACCAGGAUUCAUGGAAAGAUAAGGAAGAAAAUAAAUCAGAGUGCACACAAAAGGAAUCCCAAUCACAUACAAUUAAUCAGAUCAAUGGAAUUUCAAUCAAGACAGUCAAGAGCAAAGCAAGUAUUUAAGGCAAUGGAAAGGCAAUCAUAGCUACCAAGAUUCACUCCUAAUUAAAUCAAUUUUUAUGGCAAAACAAUCAAGCGAGCCAAGUUGUCUUCCAAGUCAGUUCAGCAAUUACAGGAAAUUACUAGCUUAUGUAUGCUUGAUAUAGACUAGAAUUGGAAUCUGUUAAGAUUUGCUAAAAAUAGAGAAAGUCUGUAAUUAUCUCCACUGCACAAGGAACUUGUAUAAAUUCAACCAUUUUGCAUGUUCUCAAACACGUUGAGCUGAGAACUCUUAAACCACAAUUUUCUUCUUAGUCUAGGUGAUACCAAGUGACAUUAAAUAAGAUUUACAAUUAAAAUGAGUUACAUAAUUCUAAAUUUUAAUUGAGUAUAUAACAUAGCGCUUGCUAAAUCAAUGUUAUAGCAACAGUGUGCAAAAUAAUGUUCGUGAAAAAUAUUCUUAAACAAAACUGAAAAACUUUAUGAAAGCUUAACAAAAAAAUUGAAGGCUUGAUCAAGAUAUUCAAAAUUUUUAUAUUAAAAAUUGCCUUAAAGUUUAUGUUUCAAAAAUUAAGAAGUGGUUACAACUAAUUUUGAAGUAUUUUUUUCUAAAAUUAAAUAAUAAACUUAUAAAAAUAAAUCAUAAUUGGCUUGGUUGUGGAAAGGUCCCUGUAAGUAUGAGGAAUGGACAAAUUUGUCUCAUAAAGAGCAUGGUAGAAAACUAGAACUAGGUCAAGUUUCAACACCAGAGUCUAUGUUAAUAAUACGAAGUCAACUUGUAUUAACAAUGAAGGGAAAAUUAAAGUGAAGGUCUCUAACAUGUCAUAACAAUGAAGGAGCGAAAAACUGAAUAAAUCAUCAGGGCAAAAAAGAAAUGCACAGAAGAAAUUUACUGAGCGAAUUUAACGGGAGCAAUUAUUUGGAAGUACCAAGCCCAACUCACGAGCCACUCAUUUUCAUCAUCAUGGCCAUUGGCUGUGUUUCAGGACUCUACGCCUUUUAACUUUUUACUUGACUACCGAUAACUGAAUGAAAAGCAAAUUAAGUUAACCAAUAGACUAGCAUGCAUGACUCACCAACUCACAAAAUUUUAUUUAGAUUUCAAAAAAAAGAACUUAUAAUUUCACCCAGCUUUGGCGAUUCCAUUUCAAAAUGGUAACAAUUUUCUAAGUUUUGUGUUUAGCAUUAUUUUCAUAAAUGCUACCUGACCUUGCUCAACUAGACAUGGUAGUUUAAACUACAUUCCCGUCAACUCCAAGAUGAUUUAUGCUAGUUGAUCACAGCCUAUUCUAUAGCCAAUUGACCUGCUUCCGUUGACUCGACUCGACUCAUUUUUGGUCGAACAAUCAUUCUUUCCAGGCUCCAAGGUGAUAUUUUAUCCAAAUUUGAUUUAAGCUACUAAAAAAUGACUAUGGUCAAUAAAACACAAGGGUCAAUGAUUUGUUUAUAUUGCCAUUGAUAACCGAAGGGCCACAAUAAGCCAAAGUUUCCCACUUUCCCGUGACUUGAACCUGCACGAAAGCUCAUGAAAAUCAUAGCUUUCUAUCAUCAGUGAUUCACCCUCCACAUGACUGCAUCCAUUGCUCUCCCUUUUCUAUGCAUCGAACAAUGGCAGCUUCCAGGGGCGGAGCCAGAGGAUUUGUCUAGUGCGGGCACAAUUUUAGGCAUCGGCUAUAGAGAUUUUUUUUGGGCAAAAUUAGUUUAUGAUAAAAAAAAAACAUUGAUAUGAGAUUAUUAAUACAACUAAUAAUUGAUUAAUCUAAUUGUUUUCUUUUUCAUUGAUAACUCAAAACUUAAGAUCUUCAGUUUAGUUCAACCAAAACUUAGUAGAUACGAGUUCUAUCACUACAACAUCUCCUCAGCCUCGUAACAAGAGUUUAAUUUUUUAUCAUAAUCAAUUAUAUUAAAAU